rnacentral:rRNA from 1 species
UGCUUAACACAUGCAAGUCGAGCGNGUAAGGCCCUUUCGGGGGUACACGAGCGGCGAACGGGUGAGUAACACGUGGGUGAUCUGCCCUGCACUUCGGGAUAAGCCUGGGAAACUGGGUCUAAUACCGGAUAUGACCAAAGGCUGCAUGGCUUUUGGUGGAAAGGUUUACUGGUGCAGGAUGGGCCCGCGGCCUAUCAGCUUGUUGGUGGGGUAAUGGCCUACCAAGGCGACGACGGGUAGCCGACCUGAGAGGGUGACCGGCCACACUGGGACUGAGACACGGCCCAGACUCCUACGGGAGGCAGCAGUGGGGAAUAUUGCACAAUGGGCGAAAGCCUGAUGCAGCGACGCCGCGUGAGGGAUGACGGCCUUCGGGUUGUAAACCUCUUUCAGCAGGGACGAAGCGAAAGUGACGGUACCUGCAGAAGAAGCACCGGCCAACCUACGUGCCCAGCAGCCGCGGUAAUACGUAGGGUGCGAGCGUUGUCCGGAAUUACUGGGCGU